CAGCUGCAUCCUUCCAAUGGACAAGACAUUUCAAAAUUCCAUUUUACGAAAGAAACACAUCAGCUCACGCUUAGUCAGACUGAGCCCCAGCAAUGGUGGAGUGGAGGCACGGGUUGUGUUCACAUUCCAGUUCUGCUCGACAGAUAACAAAGAAGCACUACGAGAAAAAAUUGCCAGUAUCUUACAGAGAAACCUGAAAAC